GUGUGAAUGUGGCGUCUUCAAACAGCUCUCUCUUGGCUUCUGCUCCAAGAAGUGGAGAAGGCAGCAGACAGCAGCUUCGGCUUCUAACGGACCCCAGCCACUUCGGGAACUGCAAGAAAGAGAAAUGUAAUGAGUGACAAUGUUUUGUCAAAAACUGGCUACAGAUGUAACAGAGAGAGCACUGUCCUUGGCGUUUUCGGCAUCUGAAAUCAAGCUCCGUAACCAAUACGAUGACAUAGCUUUGAGCAUGUGACUUCAUCUCCAAGCCUCUGUGUACACAUCUGCAAGAAUGCGAUAAACUGAGGAACCACUUCUCAGAGAUGUGGAAUUACACCUUCCACAGGCCCGGAUGUUCACACAUACAGAGGAAAGAGGGGAGUGAGGCUUCCCCUCGCAAGGGCAAGUGGAAGGAUCUUCUGUCUACUGCAGCAAAAGAACAAAAGCAGACAAAAAGGAGGGCAUAGGGACGAGGUGUCCUAAUUCGCCUCAUCUCCUGGAAAGCUGAGGGACAUCCAGUAGGAAAUCCUGGUUUCACUUGGGGCUCAAUUCCCAUCCCAACUAACGGGUGCCUGCUCUUCGUACUGAUGUUUCUUCAGACAAACUCAGUGCGUCUCUAUUUGCCUGCGAAGACCUGCCCCUCACUCACCCCCCAGCUCCCACCUCUUCUUGAAAACGGUUUCUGAUGAUCUGACCUACUGCUGGAUCAGGCGUUCCCCUCUGUCUUCUCAUAAUCUGUCCCCAUGAACCUCUCACGUAACCUUCGUCACACCCCGAUAAAGAAGUUGGUCCUCUUACGCUUAUCCCUCCUCUAUAAAACCAGAAUAAGAUCUGCCUGACCUUCCCUGCAGGAAACUGAUAUGCAUCAGGUGGAAAUUAUAACAACACAGCAACAAUUCGUGCUUGUACUUCUACACAACUGUGCAUUUAGAAGUCUUCUCUCCUUUAUUCUGUGAGACAGCCCCUUAGAACAACAGAGCACUAGGUGAAACUAAGUAAACUAGGUAAAACUAAGGUGAAACCAGGACCAUUAUUAACUAAUGCCAACUUCUAGGUUAUCUGGGCUUGGAUUGAGGCGGCUUACUUCAAAAUGCUGAUGGAAUCAUCAACUAUCUUUUUUGCCAAAUGUGAACCAGGGCUGCCAUCAGCCAAGAAUGGCCUGUCGAUUACAGAGAAUACGUCUAAACGUCAUCCUCCUCAAAAGAGCUUUGGGCAAAGGACCUGCUCUAGCGGCAGCCAAUUCAUUCAUUAAGGAAAUUGAUUCUACCAUGAAUCUAACACACUUAGGUGAUUAAGAAAGCAUCAUGUUCUUCAGCAACACAUCUCCUGCCAGGGCCUUCCAUCAGCAGCCCAUCCCUGCCUAGCAGGGACACCACAGCAAGAACAGGCCUUGCCCUGUAUGGGUGAACCCACGGAGAGCUCCUCAUCUGGCAACGGGGCUGCGUGCUUCAUUUCCUUUCUUUUCCUCGGCAGGGGUGGGGGAUGGGGGGGCUCAAUUCAAAAAAUCUUAAGCAACUUAAUAGAAAAAAAAGUGUAAUUAUCUCUAAGUUUUAUCACUCCAAAUUCUUACUCAUUGUCUAAUAAAUAUACACUCGUAUCUA